GUGUCCUCUGUUGUUCAAGUUGAAUGAAUAUCAGUUCAAGCAACAGAGUGAAUACAGCUACAACUACCAAGCCAAAACUUGUGGUUUCUUUGAGUCAAAGCCCAGCUCUCAGCAAAUUGAUUUUUGUUUCAACUAAUUGCCUGGCGUUGGAGGCACAAAAACUAUACCAUCUUCACCCAGGUUUUGAUGCUGGCUUCUCUGACCCUGUGCAUCCUUCCUAGCUGGGCAAAUGUUCUUAAGAAGCCUUAGAACAAGAGGAUAAGAGAUUGAGAGUAAACUUAAAAGACCACUGCAGCAGAUCACAUAUGAGCAAACUUUCUGCCUGCAAUUGCUGUGGACUGGUCAGGAAGUUUGCUGGAAUUUGUAUAUAUUCAAUCGUUUGCUUCUGAAAUAACCAAGACUGCGGAAAGUCUUACCAAAGCCACCAACAUCAUUGCCAAAGUUGGAAAUUCAUCAAACUACCCACUAUUUAAGGAUAUUUUCAAUGUUCUAGAAUCUUCUUAACUGACACCAUCUGAACCACAAAUCUUGGCGUUACUUCUCUAUUUCAUGUUUAAUAGUUUUUUUUCUACGAUAUUGCUAGCCAUAGCUCUCAUUAAAAACCUGAUCUCUAAGAUCCUUCAACAACAGUUGAACUACAUGUUGGCAGAUGAUACAGUUAGUCCUUUAAUGCCAACAAGAAUGUGAAGGCUGGCUCAACCCCUAAAAACUACUUUGACCCAUCUCAGUUCAUGAUUCCU
rnacentral:lncRNA from 1 species